UACGUAGGGUGCGAGCGUUAAUCGGAAUUACUGGGCGUAAAGCGUGCGCAGGCGGUUUUGUAAGCCAGAUGUGAAAUCCCCGGGCUUAACCUGGGAAUGGCAUUUGGGACUGCAAGGCUGGAGUGCGGCAGAGGAGACUGGAAUUCCUGGUGUAGCAGUGAAAUGCGUAGAUAUCAGGAGGAAUACCGAUGGCGAAGGCGGCAUCCUGGACCAACACUGACACUGAGGAGCGAAAGCCAGGGGAGCAAACGGG
rnacentral:rRNA from 1 species